rnacentral:rRNA from 1 species
GGACGGGUGAGUAACACGUGGAUAACCUACCUAUAAGACUGGGAUAACUUCGGGAAACCGGAGCUAAUACCUGAUAAUAUAUUGAACCGCAUUGUUCAAUAGUGAAAGACGGUUUUGCUGUCACUUAUAGAUGGAUCCGCGCCGCAUUAGCUAGUUGGUAAGGUAGCGGCUUACCAAGGCGACGAUUCGUAGCCGACCUGAGAGGGUGAUCGGCCACACUGGAACUGAGACAUGGUCCAG